CCAGUUGGCCGGAUGGCCGCUGUUCGCACGUUCCUUGUGGGCCGAAAGGUCGUGAACGCGCGGAUGGAGGAAAGUCCGGGCUCCACGGAAACACGGCGCCGGAUAACGUCCGGCGGGGGCAACCCCAGGGACAGUGCCACAGAAAGCAAACCGCUUUAUCGUGGGCCUAUCGCGCUCUGCGCAGCUUGAGGCCGUUCGGCUUCAGGCUCGGGCCUUCGAUACAGUAAGGGUGAAAGGGUGCGGUAAGAGCGCACCGCGCGGCUGGCAACAGACGCGGCAAGGUAAACCCCGCCGGGAGCAAAACCGAAUAGGGACGGCACGGCUCGCGGGCUUCGGCUCGCGGCGGAAUGCGUUUCCGCAUCGCCGUCCGGGUUGGUUGCUUGAGGCGCGCGGCAACACGCGUCCCAGAUGAAUGGCCAUCGCGGCGGAGCAAUCCGCCGGCACAGAACCCGGCUUACAGGCCAACUGGCACU
rfam:Rhodomicrobium vannielii ATCC 17100, complete genome.